rnacentral:rRNA from 1 species
UAAUACAGAGGUGGCGAGCGUUGUUCGGAUUUACUGGGCGUAAAGGGUGCGUAGGCGGUUCUGCAUGUCGGGUGUGAAAUCCCACGGAUCAUCCGUGGAACGGCAUUCGAAACUGCAGGGCUGGAGUGCGGGAGAGGAAGGUGGAAUUCUCGGUGUAGCGGUGAAAUGCGUUGAUAUCGAGAGGAACGCCGGUGGUGAAGACGACCUUCUGGAACGCAACUGACGCUGAGGCACGAAAGCUAGGGGAGCAAACAGGAUUAGAUACCCUGGUAGUCCUAGCCGUAAACGGUGUGCACUUGAUGUAGGAGGAAUUAUCCCCUUCUGUGUCGUAGCUAACGCGAUAAGUGCACCGCCUGGGGAGUACGGUCGCAAGAUUA